AUGCUAACUUUGUCAGCCUGUAUACUAAAAUUGGAACGAUACUGAGAAUAUAAGCAUUUCCUGAACAAGGGUGAUACACAAAUUUAUGAAGCAUUCCACAUUUUU